rnacentral:rRNA from 1 species
GAUGAACGCUGGCGGCGUGCCUAAUACAUGCAAGUCGAGCGAACGGACGAGAAGCUUGCUUCUCUGAUGUUAGCGGCGGACGGGUGAGUAACACGUGGAUAACCUACCUAUAAGACUGGGAUAACUUCGGGAAACCGGAGCUAAUACCGGAUAAUAUUUUGAACCGCAUGGUUCAAAAGUGAAAGACGGUCUUGCUGUCACUUAUAGAUGGAUCCGCGCUGCAUUAGCUAGUUGGUAAGGUAACGGCUUACCAAGGCAACGAUGCAUAGCCGACCUGAGAGGGUGAUCGGCCACACUGGAACUGAGACACGGUCCAGACUCCUACGGGAGGCAGCAGUAGGGAAUCUGCCGCAAGGGGCGAAAGCCUGACGGAGCAACGCCGCGUGAGUGAUGAAGGUCUUCGGAUCGUAAAACUCUGUUAUUAGGGAAGAACAUAUGUGUAAGUAACUGUGCACAUCUUGACGGUACCUAAUCAGAAAGCCACGGCUAACUACGUG